rnacentral:rRNA from 1 species
GGGUCAGUAGGUUGGUCGUGCCACCGGUACGUACUGGUCUCACUGAUUCCUCCUUCCCGAAGAACCGUAAUGCCAUUAAUUUGGCGUUGCGGGGAAACAGGACUGUUACUUUGAAAAAAUUAGAGUGUUUAAAGCAAGCUAACGCUUGAAUACAUUAGCAUGGAAUAAUGAAAUAGGACGAUCGAUCCUAUUUUGUUGGUUUCUAGGAUUGACGUA